UUUGCUCUGCAACUCAGAGAGAUGGAGUCUCUGACACCAGAGAAUGGAUAAUGUACUGAAACGAAGUCAGAAAUACUGACUUCAUCAGUACCACCAGAACCAGGUCCUUGAUCCAUUCUGAGACCAUUUUUGUACAAGAUAUGCGCUCACCAGAAGCUCUGCGGUGACCCUGGCAGUCCCCAGUUCCCGGGAAGGAGCGGCACACAGAGGCCAUCGAUAAAUAGUGAGUGAGCGCCUGGACGGGCGACAGCGUUACACACAAACCGGCCUGAUUAUUUCCCAAGGCCACGUUCCUAUUUACUUUAUCAUUCUGUGCACCUCUAACUUAUUUCUCAUUCUUUUCUAUAACCUCCUUCAACAGCCCUGAAAUCCCUCCACCCCCAGUGCCAGCGCUGUCGUCACUGUUAUUUCCUCCCAGCCAAGGAGAGGCAAACAACUGUCAGCUGUGGUCAUGAGGUGACCUUGUCUCCUGCAUUCGUGAUCUUUGCCCCUGAGCCUUGUCCCUCUUGCCAAAGUGACAGUAAUUCUGUCUCAGUGGGUGUGGGAGGAGGAGGGGUAUAUGUGUGUGUGUGUGUGUGUGUGUGUGUGUGUGUGAGAGACACAUUCUUAUCAUUACAGAAGAGUUUUUAAAACUUUAAAUUCUGUGUUAGCAGUUUUAUCAGGCAGUACACCUUACUGAAAUACAUAUAUGACAAGACAGCUCUCUCACCUAAAAGCAAAUGGGUUUUGUUUUGCAUUGUUUUUGAGAUAGGGUCUUGCUAUGUAGUUCAGGCUGGC